rnacentral:rRNA from 1 species
GACGAACGCUGGCGGCGUGCCUAAUACAUGCAAGUCGACCUUAGUGGCGAACGGGUGAGUAACCCGUGGGUAACCUGCCCAUCAGACGUGGAUAACACUUGGAAACAGGUGCUAAUACCGUAUACUGACGGAUGGACCCGCGGUGCAUUUGCUAGUUGGUGCGGUAACGGCCUACCAAGGCGACGAUCCGUAACUGGGCUGAGAGGAUGAUCAGUCACACUGGAACUGAGACACGGUCCAGACUCCUACGGGAGGCAGCAGUGGGGAAUAUUGGACAAUGGGCGAAAGCCUGAUCCAGCCAUGCCGCGUGUGUGAAGAAGGUCUUCGGAUUGUAAAGCACUUUAAGUUGGGAGGCGGUACCCGCAGAAGAAGCACCGGCUAACUCCGUGCCAGCAGCCGCGGUAAUAC